GAUAACACUCAUCUAAUCUUCACAUCACUUUAUUCUGCAGAACUAAACUAGUGAUCUUAAUAAUGGGGCUAAAGAUUUCUCAGUAUUGUGUUCUUAUACUGAUGUUAAUGCAAGAUAUUAUAAGUGCUGAGAUCAGGCUUGAGCAGUCUUCUGCUGUGGUGAAGAAACCUGGAGAAACUGUGAAGAUCUCCUGUAAAAUAAGUGGAUACAGCAUGACCAGCUACAACAUCCACUGGAUACGACAGAAACCAGGACAAGCUCUGGAGUGGAUUGGUCGGAUGAACACUGGCUCAAAUUCAGCGUUAUAUGCAGAUUCCAUGAAAGAUCACUUCAUACUGACUGAGGACGUUCCUUCAAACAUGCAGUUUUUAGAGGCCAAGAGUCUGAGAGCAGAAGAUACUGCUGUUUAUUACUGCGCUCGAUCCCCACAGUGA